AGACGAAGAUUGACAACUGAUCUACCUUGGCACCUCUGCUGAGUCAAAUCAGACGGUGCCCACACUCUGUGAUCCUGUACCCAGCCAGCUAACACGCACAUUUUACACAGGCCGCUGGGUUAAUGCUGCCGAAAUAAAUCAGUGUGAUGUGCUGACAUUGCAGACGGGCUCUGGUUCCAGUGGCCGAAGCCAUCGUGUUCUGGGAGGGGAGACACAGAACUGUGAUGAACGCAACAUGCAGCAAGAGAUGCUUUGUGUCUACACCCUUUCUUCACAUUUAGAGGUAAGAAAAAGAAAAUCUUCACCAGAGGAGAUGUGAGUGUAAUCUUCGCGGACUCCUUCAGCCUGAGACCAGAGACUUGAGCACCUGACAGUGCCGAAAUCCAGUGAGGAGGGCAUAACACUUGACACUGGGGAGUAGACACCAUCUGAUGGAGAAAGAAAUGCACCCAUAAUAAGCUGCUUGGCCACAGCAGGAAGCCUGGGAGCCGGGAGCCAGC